CACGUGGAUGAUCUGUCCUGGAGUGGGGAAUAACUUGGGGAAACUCGAGCUAAUACCGCAUACGCUCGUAUGGUUACGACCAUGCGAGGAAAGUUGGCCUCUACACGUAAGCUGACGCUCCUGGAGGAGUCCGCGCCUGAUUAGCUAGUUGGUGGGGUAAUGGCCCACCAAGGCGACGAUCAGUAGCCGGCCUGAGAGGGCGAUCGGCCACACUGGGACUGAGACACGGCCCAGACUCCUACGGGAGGCAGCAGUGGGGAAUAUUGGACAAUGGGGGCAACCCUGAUCCAGCAACGCCGC
rnacentral:rRNA from 1 species